UACGGGGGGGGCAAGCGUUGUUCGGAAUUACUGGGCGUAAAGGGCGCGUAGGCGGCCAGCACAAGUCAGUUGUGAAAUCUCCGAGCUUAACUCGGAAAGGUCAACUGAUACUGUGCGGCUAGAGAGCAGAAGGGGCAACUGGAAUUCUUGGUGUAGCGGUGAAAUGCGUAGAUAUCAAGAGGAACACCUGCGGCGAAGGCGGGUUGCUGGGCUGACACUGACGCUGAGGCGCGAAAGCUAGGGGAGCGAACGGG
rnacentral:rRNA from 1 species